ACUGGCAUCGGCGAUGGCGCUCGCCGGAAAGCUCUGCUUUCGAACCGCCACACGGCUGAUGGCACCUGCGAACGC
rnacentral:ncRNA from 1 species